GCUGUCACUUGACCACUAGAAGGCGUCGUAUCACCACUACAGAUCCCGGGUUUGGCGCCUUUACCAACAAGUUGAAGUGACAGCACGCCUAUGAGCUCACCUGACUAUGGUGGGUGUGAUCUGCUAAGAUGCCACUGCACCUAUAAAAACACCUAGACUCCGCCUCCAGCAGCAACACAACCAAUCAUCUGUCAACACUCCAAAUAUGGAAAGAUCCUAACUCUUUAAAGAGCAGCUUAAUGAAACAGCAAAGCGACUCACAAUCGGGAGACUCCAGCUCAAACUGCUCCAGGACUAACGGCCCAGGAGGGGUUUGGUUAAAGGAAGUGUCUUGCAUGGGAACUGAGUCUAUGGGGAGGGGUAUUACUACAGUAUUCUUUAAGCAUGUCAGUCAUCAAAGCUGCCAGAGAGCAGUGGAGCAGACGAUGGCUUCAUGCUGCAUUAGAGGGGUGUGUCGAAAGUAGCCAUGUUGAAUAGAUCUGAGUGUCAGGGCUCAGAUCUAUUCAUAAAGCAGGUUAGAAAUGGAGAAAGAGUCCAUAUAAAACAUACAAUGGGAGGAAAUCUGCUUUAGAACUGCACUCAUGUCAUGUGGGGUAUCGCAGACAGAUGUAGAUUGGUUGUGACUGUAGAUAAACUGGCUUUGUUUAAACCGCUUCUUCCCUGUAUUUAAAGCAUUUUAACUUCAGGCUAGUAGAGCAACUAGAUGUUCUUAUCUUGACCCUAACCCUAGCCUUACAGAAUGAAACAGCUUUAAGCCUUU